AUCACCCAAUCCGUGACGGGAAGGAGGUGUUAUCAUUGCUUAAUUUUUUAAUCUUGUUGUUUGUUACUAUCAUGGCGAAUGUAAUUAGCUACUACAUUUGCAAAUGGCUAGAUAGUAACAAUAAAUAGUGACUAGCCAAAGUCGUUACUUUUAGACGACAAAGAAAAAGCACAGGGCGGCAACCCUGUGCUUUUUUUGGUGUUAUCAA
rnacentral:sRNA from 1 species